rnacentral:rRNA from 1 species
CCAGACUCCUACGGGAGGCAGCAGUGGGGAAUAUUGCACAAUGGGGGAAACCCUGAUGCAGCGACGCCGCGUGAGUGAAGAAGUAUUUCGGUAUGUAAAGCUCUAUCAGCAGGGAAGAUAAUGACGGUACCUGAGUAAGAAGCCCCGGCUAACUACGUGCCAGCAGCCGCGGUAAUACGUAGGGGGCAAGCGUUAUCCGGAUUUACUGGGUGUAAAGGGAGCGUAGACGGCAUGGCAAGUCUGAAGUGAAAGCCCGGGGCUCAACCGCGGGACUGCUUUGGAAACUGUGCGGCUGGAGUGCAGGAGGGGUAAGCGGAAUUCCUAAUGUAGCGGUGAAAUGCGUAGAUAUUAGGAGGAACACCGGUGGCGAAGGCGGCUUACUGGACUGUAACUGACGUUGAGGCUCGAAAGCGUGGGGAGCAAACAGGAUUAGAUACCCCCGUAA